GCCGAUGUGCAGUAGCAGCAGCAGCAGCCGCGGGUGCUAGAAAGUGUGUAGAGUCCAAACCCUAUUGUCAUACAUCAACCAGUCAGUGCCGUGUCUAGUUCAGUCGCACAUCAAAACGCAUCCAGUCUGUGAGCAGCAAACAAGGGCGAAUUAGGAAGGCAAAGCAGAAGCGAGAAAAGCUCAAAGCGGAAAAGUGUGAUAGAAGAACCAGUUUAAUAUAUAUAUAUUUUUUUUCGCACGCCUGCCCUUCUUCGGAGCACACAAUUUUGGUCGCGCGAUCCGUGGUCGUGGAUGUGUCGUCUGGUCGCAAAAAGUGGCAAAAAUUCGAUCGAAAAGGUGUGUUUUUCCCGUAGCACCGUCACGAAUCGGUGGAAAAUUGUUCACUUUCGGUGUUGAUUUGGUGUUUUUCAGGUGUUAAACGGUCACCUGUGCGUUGGGUGUCACGAUCUGAGUUCGCGAUAGUGCAGUGAAAAUAUAUUCUGUUACGAGGUUGAAGUAAAGAAAAAAAAAGAAUUCCUACCAAGAGGAGAGAUUUUUCGGUUCGAUUGAGUUCGGUUUCAAUUCAGUCUUCUUUUGUGUGCCUAUGCUUACAUCUUGGCAAGAAAGGAUUCGAGAAAAUUAUAUCGCUAUCAAUACAUACAAAUACAGCGUUUUUGGUGUGCAAAAAUUUCAGUCAAAAAAAAUUGUGCCCCAGCCCGUCAGUCGGUGGUUGGUUGUAGCAGCAUAAAAGUUGUUCAAUUGAAUCGAAAAGCAGUGUGUUUUCCGUGUUAUCGGCUGCAGUAUUUCCUCAGGAUUGCCUGUUAAUCGACUGUGAACGAAGCAGGGAAUUUUUUUUUUUCAAAACGACCGCUGAGCAAAAGAUGGUGUUCCGGGAAAAUCAAUAGAAUUGUUUUAGAAGUCCCCGGUAAAGGAACAUCGCCGUAGGAAUCAAGCCAACUAGACGUGACGAAAGAGAAGAUAAAAAAAACAACAACUACUGCUGCAAAGGAAGACUGUAUUUUUACUGUUUGUGUGUUGUUAUAUCCAGUUACAAGAGCCAAUAAGAUCGUUUACAACAAGUGAUAACAAACAAACCGAAGAGGUGCCGAAAUUACGCGCAGAAGUGAUAAUUUUUGUACCCUCCCCCUCUCACCCUCCUUCUUAGCAAAAGUUUCGUAGUGAAGAAAGAUAAGUGAUCCUGCAAUCCUCAACGAUUCAUCAAUUUCCGACCGAAUUGAGCGGCCCCAUCCACCAUCCACCACCAGUGACUGUUUUCGGUCACCCGGCCGCCGCCGCCGCUGCUAGGCUACUCCAACGGAGCAAACUGGCUACCCACAUACACCCCACGGAGUCGCUCGCUGUCGCGCAUCACGGCGCGAUGUCGAUACCGAACGCUGCUGGCCAGCUCGAGGGCGCACUGGCGGCGCCGAAAUACGGGACGCUCAUUCCAAACCGAGUCUUCGUCGGUGGUAUUAGCGGUGACACGACGGAAGCGGAACUGUGCCGGCUAUUCUCCUCGUACGGCAACGUCAAGUCCACGAAAAUCAUCGUCGACCGGGCGGGCGUCAGCAAAGGCUACGGAUUCGUGACGUUCGAAACCGAGCACGAGGCACAAAGACUGCAGAGCGAUGUAAGUAUGAAGGGUGACUGCAUCGUGCUGAGGGAUCGCAAGUUGAACAUUGCACCAGCGAUUAAGAAACAGACAAUCUGUGCAACGAACGGUGCCGUGUACUACGCAGCCACUCCUCCAACCCCGACGAUCAACAACAUCCCAAUCGAGCAGUUUGCGACAGUCUAUCCGCCAGGUGUGCCAACUAUCUAUCCGCCAACGAUGCCGUAUCAGCCGUUCUAUCAGUACUACAGCGUGCCAAUGAAUGUUCCGACUAUUUGGCCUCAAAACUAUCAAGACGGCAACGAUUACUAUUGAAGAGGAUGUUUAUUUGAUUUCUUUUGUCCAACCGAGACACUAUCAGCCAAUUGAAACAACAUUAUCCGAGGAAUCUACCCUUGUUAAAAGAAAGAGAACAAACUAGACAAACAGAAACUUAUUUAUUAUCAUGAGUAAUAUUUAUACAACAAAAAAUCACAUCUAUAUAUAAAUAAAUAAAUUAGACAAAAAAAUCCAUUAGCAUAAAUGAUGAACCUAAUAAUAAUAAAUAACAAAAAAAAACAAAGAACAAAAAUGCAAUAAGUAGCGAAGCAAGAAGCCACAGAGUGGAGGAUAUAUAAUUAGCGAAUCGGAGCGCGAGCGCCACCGACAAGGCUUUAGUGUACAUAUUAUACAGACACACUCUAGUAGCACGGCGGUUAGAAGAUACCGGCGAGGAACCCGUUUUAUUUCAUUUUGUAUCACUCGUCCGUUGCGUUUGCAACCUGGCAAACAGAACGGAAGUUCCGGCGGGACGGUGGAAGCCCGACACAGCCCCCUCUAGCGGAAGGUUGUGGGACUGUGGAUGCGCACACAUACCAGAGGCUACUAACAUCGAAUAUUAUAUAUAUAUAUAAAUACAUCUUACAAAACGAUAUUUAUACAUACACUUGCGAGAGAAGACCUAUACACAACCAGCACAGCAAUUAGAGAUAGCAUGUGAGUGAACGAGUCGCGGAAGCGAAGACCGACAAAACCAAUUCUAGCGAGCGAGGUGGGUGUGAUUGUGAUGGGUGCUGCUGCGGCGAUGUAGACGAGCAGCCGAUAUAGAUACAAACCGAAGAAGCAGAAGAAGACGAAAAAAAUAACACACAGAUCAAUGUCAGGAAGACCGAAGUUUUUGAUUAUGGUUUUGCCAUUCUGUUCCACCGGAUCGCAGGCAUUAUUUUCCGCGUUUCUUUUCUUUAGACUUUUUUUUGUCACGCUUGCCCCCAUCCUCGCGAUGUGAUGGGAUGAGGCGAACCACUAUAAAUAGCUAUUUAAGAAAAAUGACCUAACAAUUAGGAGAGAUAGAGAGAGAGAGAGAGAAAGAGAGGGAGAGUGGCAGUGAAAUUCGCUACCGCGAAACAGCGAUUUUCUAGUGAGGCUAGAAAUUCAAAUUAAUACAACACACGGACUGCUUUAUUUUUAUUAGGAUGUCAAAUGAUGUUGAUAGUGUGGGAAAAACAAAAAGACAGAUUCCAUGUGGGAGACGGAACAACAUGCGAGUGAAAGCGAUUAAUCGUCGAGCCGGAUGGGAAGAUGCGCUUCCCAUUCGGAAUGUUGAAUCUUUUUACUUUUGAAGUAAAACAUUGUUGAACAAUAUUAACCUAAUAUUAGAAACUACUGUAGGUUAUAAGAAUAUAUGAGCCAGCGGGCGGAUAACGACGAGUCAGUUAGGGUAGUUCUAACAAACAUAACUGAAACGGAAUAAAUCCGUGAUUAUUUAUGAUACGAGCGAAAAAAAUCCAUAUACUUAUACAUAGAAAAUAUAUAUAUACAAACAGUAAAGUAAUAAAUCAAACAGAAAUCAGCAACUGACACACACACAUGAAAUAAAAUAAUUAUAAAUACUAAUCUGUACAGAAGCAGCAUGUCGCUAAUUUGGACCUAAAACGUCAACCACCAACGACAAAACAACCACAUGUGAUCGUACACACAUACACACUAGCACAUUUUCGAUAUAAUUUGGUUAGAUGCAUAUAUGUGAGCAAAGUAAUACCAUUUAAAGACGACGAGGGGAUCUUGAAAAUUCUACUAUCCACUGUUUCACUGCACUUGAACGGUCUAUUUUUUUUUCUUUCAGAGACUCUGAUGAGACGAAGUCAAUUUAGUUUCCAUGGGAUUAUGUCAGCUCUUUAACUUUUCUUUUCAGUUAUUGUGUAAGAUCUCAUAUAAAAUCGUUUAGAUAUUUUUCCUUGAUCCCUUUAAACUAUUCUACUCUAAAGCAUGCUGUACACGAAAACAACGGGACAUGGUUUGUUGUUUGUUUGUCAGCUUUAACUCUUAAAGGCUUAAUCAUUUAGACAUGGGACGUAGUUUUAACCUUUCAAUCGAAAAUCUUUCAGGAUGAAACAAAGGUAAUAUUUUACUUCAUGAAAAUAAUUGAAACAAAAUCUUUCAUUUGUAACAUGCAGAAUUUCUCGCACUUUUCUGUAGAUACUGCUUAUCAAGCGACACGCACCUUCUACACUAGGGCAUUGCAAAAAAAAAUUUUUUUGAAUUCUCGAAGGCCCCCCCUCUCAUAUUGUGACAAAUGUCAAAGCAAGCUCAGAUGCCAAAUUUCACAUCAUUGGGACAAUUUUAGACCCCCGCCCACUUCGCUUGAAAUGUUUUGAAAUUGGUACUAUGGGAAAAUAUGGAGGAAAAAUACAUUAAAUGCUAUAACUUUUGAAGUAGCAAUCAG